rnacentral:rRNA from 1 species
UCUAAUAGCGAUGAGGAGGACAUUAAGAAUUUAAUAAUUUUGAAAAUGGAUUUUUUUGUUUUGGCAAGAGCAUGAGAGCUUUUACUGGGCAAGAAGACAAGAGAUGGAGAGUCCAGCCGGGCCUGCGCUUAAGUGCGCGGUCUUGCUAGGCUUGUAAGUUUCUUUCUUGCUAUUCCAAACGGUGAGAGAUUUCUGUGCUUUUGUUAUAGGACAAUUAAAACCGUUUCAAUACAACACACUGUGGAGUUUUCAUAUCUUUGCAACUUUUUCUUUGGGCAUUCGAGCAAUCGGGGCCCAGAGGUAACAAACACAAACAAUUUUAUUUAUUCAUUAAAUUUUUGUCAAAAACAAGAAUUUUCGUAACUGGAAAUUUUAAAAUAUUAAAAACUUUCAACAACGGAUCUCUUGGUUCUCGCAUCGAUGAAGAACGCAGCGAAAUGCGAUACGUAAUGUGAAUUGCAGAAUUCCGUGAAUCAUCGAAUCUUUGAACGCACAUUGCGCCCCUUGGUAUUCCAGGGGGCAUGCCUGUUUGAGCGUCAUUUCCUUCUCAAACAUUCUGUUUGGUAGUGAGUGAUACUCUUUGGAGUUAACUUGAAAUUGCUGGCCUUUUCAUUGGAUGUUUUUUUUCCAAAGAGAGGUUUCUCUGCGUGCUUGAGGUAUAAUGCAAGUACGGUCGUUUUAGGUUUUACCAACUGCGGCUAAUCUUUUUUAUACUGAGCGUAUUGGAACGUUAUCGAUAAGAAGAGAGCGUCUAGGCGAACAAUGUUCUUAAAGUUUGACCUCAAAUCAGGUAGGAGUACCCGCUGAACUUAAGCAUAUCAAAAA